AUCUAAUCUUCAGGACUACAUACGGGACACGUUGCCUUACGCAGGUUCUCUUUCGUCCUCCAUGUUUGAAGAAAACUAGAGGACAACAAUAUGAGAGACAAGUGGAGGAAGAAGCGUAUGCGAAGGUUAAAGCGUAAACGAAGAAAGAUGCGAGCAAGAUCUAAUUAAAUACAGACUCAGCAGAAUGGAUGGUGCCUGACCCAUGUUUAUAUCCUGUACCUGUGUGUGCUCAGACAGACAUGAUUGCUUUCAACCUAUGGAAUUACAACAGUGGACUUGAUUUGCUCCACCAACUGCAACAAGUUUUGCAUGAGAAGUUCCUGGAUUUUUAACAACACAAUCUCUAAUAUGGAACAUGUUGUUAGAGCAUCAAGAACAUGUUUUAAUCCAAUGGAUAUGGCUUGAUUACUUCUGAAUGCUGUGAUAGGUUCCAUCAUUGGGGACAAGGUCAUUUACCAUCCCUCUGUUGAAUUUUGUUUUCUUUUGACAAGCAUUCAUUAAAAGUAGCAUUUGCUCUA